rnacentral:misc_RNA from 1 species
CGCCUUAGUGUUGCCUUUCGCCUUCAUAACACUGAUUUAUCACUAUAAGGAAGUAGAGCCACAUAACUACAUAUAAAUUUGAACCAAAAAAAUUCUUUCAGAUAAAGAAGUGAUUGUGAUGGCCAACCAGUGGCUAUAAGUUUAUGAAUAUUUUUCUGUUAUAGCAUAUUGCAAACACCUUGCAGCUCUAAAAUUUCAAUGACAACCAUAGUUAUUAAAGGCUCAAG